CUUGUUUCCCCCGGGACAGAAACUUCUGAAAAGCAGCGUCUUUGGAAGAGGAAUAAGGAAAGGGGUGGGAACUGCACCAUUUUGUACAUAUAUUUUGUAAACCACUAAGCUUUACCAUGCACCAAGCACCAUUUCUGAAGGCUAGCCAAGCUGUCCAUUUUUCUCAUGCAAGGCGGAUUUCUCCUGUUGCAACAGUCCCUCCUGUGACAGGCUUGCUUCUACUUGUACGAGGAGCCCUGAAAUCCUUGGCAUCUCCUCCUGGGGGCUCAGGCUGAAGGACCGCACCUCGCACACCUGAGUCUGCUCAGGCCCCUCAGCGUCCGUUGGGUGACAACAAAGAACAACGUCCUCCAACAGACGUCCUUUGCCAAGAGCAGCUCCACCGGGAACGUCCACCCCGGAGGGGACAGUCCCUUUGCCAAGAGACAGAGGCUGGUGUC